CAAAUCAUUACGUAAAGUACAUUCAUCGUCCAUUCAUCCACAAACGCUCUCAUUGUGGUUUUUCCUGUUUGUUCUUCCGACCCGCAAUCCGAGCCCCCUUUUUCUCUCUCUUCCUGCCGUCUCGGUCGCCGAUUAUCGUCUCCGAUCACCGAUUUUAGGUUUUUGGUCAAUCUAAUAUUAGAUGACUAUCGAUGAGCAAGAUCAAGAUGUCAUCCGGUGGGGUUUGAAUCUUCUUGAUUUCGGACCAUUGUUCAAUAGUACUUACGGGGGGGAUUAUAACACAGAAGAAGGGAGCAGUUAUCCUCAACAAUAUACGAGAGAGUAUAAUUACGAUACGUCGUGUAAUUCUGACUGUAAUUAUGUAGAAAGUGAUGCAAUACUUGCCCGUUCUCUACAAGAAGAAUUUUCAAGAAUAGAAGUUGAUAAUCCGACUCAAUCUUCACAUACAGAACCAGAGCAGUUUCAUUCAUCCAAUUCAUCAUCACAGUGGCUUGUACCAUCUUCCGCCAAUUAUUGUCCUGCUCAAGAGAACGCCCAGGAGGCAGAUGAUACAGGCCACUCAAGUUCAUGUUCUAGCCCAGGGGAGAGAUCAAAUGAUGGUGAAGAUUAUUCGUAUACUUUGGAAUUUGCGGAUGAGUCAGCAGUUGAUGGAGAACUGGGGAAGAGGUUAAACCAAUUGAUCCCUGUGCCACAUGUCCCUCGAAUUAAUGGGGAAAUACCUUCAAUGAAUGAAGCAACUUCAGAUCAUCAACGACUACUAGAUAGAUUGCAGUUGUAUGAUUUGGUUGAGCGCAAGGUCCAGGGGGAUGGCAAUUGCCAGUUUCGUGCUUUGUCAGAUCAAUUCUAUCGCACUCCGGAACACCAUAAGUUUGUGAGGCAACAGGUUGUCAAUCAGCUCAAAUCACAACCAGAGUCUUACGAGGGAUAUGUUCCCAUGGCGUAUGGUGAAUACUUAAACAAGAUGUCCAAGAGUGGUGAAUGGGGAGAUCAUGUCACCUUGCAGGCAGCUGCUGACUCGUAUGGUGUUAAGAUAUUCCUUAUAACUUCAUUCAAGGACUCCUGUUAUAUGGAGAUUAUUCCAAAGGUUCAAAAGUCAAAACGAGUAAUCUUAAUUAGCUUUUGGGCAGAAGUGCACUACAAUUCAAUCUACCCACAAGGAGACGUGGAAGGGCAUUGAAUUGGAAUGUUUAUCCAACAUUCCUCUCUUGGUUGUUUUAUGAGACUAAAGAUCAAGAGUUGCCACCUCCCAGUCCCUGGCAGAUGAAAAAGAAGAAAAGAUGGUGGCUUUUUUGAAACAAUUGAGGAGGAGAGGCGUAAUUCAUUUAUUCAUCUGUAUAUACGGAGCAGUGUUACAUGAUUCGCUAUGAUUUGCUAGUAUGAGAUUGGGUACGGGAUCACAAUUUAGUACCUAAUUAGCUAAACUAGACCAAAAAGGUACAAUUUUAUUUAUGAUUUGAUAUUUCGGUUCCGAGUCCGCGGGGUGAUUAGGGAAUCAGGUAACACUGGUACGGAGUAUGUGUCUAGGGCCGCCAUGCAAGCAUCGAAUUUUUAUUUGCAAUAAUGUACUUUUAUUCUUUCUUUGUAUUUCUCCGUUGUGGCCUCCGGUAUAAUUGUGCCGGGAAUGCGCCUGAAACACAAAUAUGAAUAUGAAGUAUAUAUAAAUGCGAGGCGUGCUUUUUGAUUCGCAUGCCAUUUCUA